rnacentral:rRNA from 1 species
UCGAGGAUCUUCGGCAAUGUGCGAAAGCAUGACCGAGCGACGCCGCGUGUGCGACGAAGGCCUUCGGGUUGUAAAGCACUGUCGAGGGGGAGGAAAGCCGAAAGGUCUGACCUAUCCCUGGAGGAAGCACGGGCUAAGUUCGUGCCAGCAGCCGCGGUAAGACGAACCGUGCGAACGUUGUUCGGAAUCACUGGGCAUAAAGGGCGCGUAGGCGGGCCGAUAAGUCAGGGGUGAAAUCCUCCAGCUUAACUGGAGAACUGCCUUUGAUACUGACGGCCUCGAGUAAGGUAGGGGCAUGCGGAACUGAUGGUGGAGCGGUGAAAUGUGUUGAUAUCAUCAGGAACUCCGGUGGCGAAAGCGGCAUGCUGGACCUUUACUGACGCUGAGGCGCGAAAGCUAGGGGAGCAAACGGGAUUAGAUACCCCCGUAGUCCCUGAGCGGGCUGGCAAGGCGCAU